AACGAACGCUGGCGGCAUGCCUAACACAUGCAAGUCGAACGAGACCUUCGGGUCUAGUGGCGCACGGGUGCGUAACGCGUGGGAACCUGCCCUUAGGUUCGGAAUAACUCCCCGAAAGGGGUGCUAAUACCGGAUAAUGUCUUCGGACCAAAGAUUUAUCGCCUUUGGAUGGGCCCGCGUUGGAUUAGCUAGUUGGUAGGGUAAAAGCCUACCAAGGCGACGAUCCAUAGCUGGUCUGAGAGGAUGAUCAGCCACACUGGGACUGAGACACGGCCCAGACUCCUACGGUAGGCAGCGGUGGGGAAUAUUGGACAAUGGGCGAAAGCCUGAUCCAGCCAUGCCGCGUGAGUGAUGAAGGCCUUAGGGUUGUAAAGCUCUUUUACCCGGGAUGAUAAUGACAGUACCGGGAGAAUAGGCUCCGGCUAACUCCGUG
rnacentral:rRNA from 1 species